rnacentral:misc_RNA from 1 species
UACGAAGGUCCCAAGCGUUGUUCGGAAUCACUGGGCGUAAAGAGUGCGUAGGCGGCGCGGAAAGUCAGAUGUGAAAUCCCGGGGCUCAACCUCGGAACGGCAUCCGAUACUCCCGCGCUAGAGGACUGGAGAGGAGUCUGGAAUUCACGGUGUAGCAGUGAAAUGCGUAGAUAUCGUGAGGAACACUAGUGGCGAAGGCGAGACUCUGGACGGUUCCUGACGCUGAGGCACGAAGGCCAGGGGAGCGAAGGGG